UGGGGAAUUUUGGACAAUGGACGAAAGUCCUNUCCAGCCAUGCCGCGUGCGGGAAGAAGGCCUUCGGGUUGUAAACCGCUUUUGUCAGGGAAGAAAUCCUUUGAGCUAAUACCUCGGGGGGAUGACGGUACCUGAAGAAUAAGCACCGGCUAACUACGUGCCAGCAGCCGCGGUAAUACGUAGGGUGCAAGCGUUAAUCGGAAUUACUGGGCGUAAAGCGUGCGCAGGCGGUUAUGUAAGACAGAGGUGAAAUCCCCGGGCUCAACCUGGGAACUGCCUUUGUGACUGCAUAGCUUGAGUGCGGCAGAGGGGGAUGGAAUUCCGCGUGUAGCAGUGAAAUGCGUAGAUAUGCGGAGGAACACCGAUGGCGAAGGCAAUCCCCUGGGCCUGCACUGACGCUCAUGCACGAAAGCGUGGGGAGCAAACAGGAUUAGAUACCCUGGUAGUCCACGCCCUAAACGAUGUCAACUGGUUGUUGGGAAGGUUCCUUCUCAGUAACGUAGCUAACGCGUGAAGUUGACCGCCUGGGGAGUACGGCCGCAAGGUUG
rnacentral:rRNA from 1 species